UCGGGGUCGAGCCCCUCUGGCCUGCCAGGCUAUGAGUUCGACCCAGGUCUGGCCUGAAUAAACUUCAUGUGAUCGCAGCAAGGUGGCUAUCCAGGACACACUGCCAGAAGAUUCCCAGGACUUCUUGGUGCUAAGAGCAGCUGCUUCCCAGCAAUUGUGGCACACAUCUUCUGUGAGUUUUGCAGUUCUUCAAAACUCAGAUGACUCCAAAAUGAAAAAAAUCAAAUGUUUACAUAGAUGCUUCAUAGUCCUUCAGAAGAACUUGCCACAGAAUAAUGACUUUCUUCACACAGUCUCCACACUGAGCAAGACAUGAAUGCUGGAUGAGAGGCCAGUCAGACCAUAGGAGAAUAUGAAUAAGGCACAAAGAAGGUAAGAGCAGUGAAGGUGAUAGUGACAUCUAAGGACCAUAGGAGGAUGCAAAUGCUGAGGCAACAUUUAAUGGAAUGCAAGAACCAACUGAUAGAAAAUCUGAAAGAAAUUUCUAUUUCCCUUCUUUGUCUAGAAAUGCUGCCUUUCUCUCAAGCCUUGUCUUAGUUGUGAUAUCAUUUCUGCGGAAAAAAAAAAACAACACUAUGGCUAAAGCAACUGUUAUAAAGGACAAAUUUACUUGUGCUGGCUUACAGUUUCAGAUAUUCAAUCAAUUAUCACAUGGAAGGAAGCAUGACCGUGUCCAGGCAGGCAUGGUGCUGGAAAAAGAGUUGAUGGUUCUACCUCCUGAUCCAGAUCACUCAAUAGGUCUACGGGGCUAGAGUUCACCAUGCACACUUCCUUGAAGUCUGACCUUCUCAUUCUAAGGAAAUAAGGUUGGAAUUUUCAAACACUACAGAUCAGAUGUAUUCUGAUUAAUGGG